GACGAACGCUGGCGGCGUGCUUAACGCAUGCAAGUCGAGCGGAAAGGCCACUUCGGUGGUACUCGAGCGGCGAACGGGUGAGUAACACGUGAGUAAUCUGCCCUUGGCUUUGGGAUAGCCACCGGAAACGGUGAUUAAUACCGGAUACGACCACUUCUCGCAUGGGAUGGUGGUGGAAAGUUUUUUCGGCCAGGGAUGUGCUCGCGGCCUAUCAGCUUGAUGGUGAGGUAAUGGCUCACCAUGGCUUCGACGGGUAGCCGGCCUGAGAGGGUGACCGGUCACACUGGGACUGAGACACGGCCCAGACUCCUACGGGAGGCAGCAGUGGGGAAUAUUGGACAAUGGGCGGAAGCCUGAUCCAGCAACGCCGCGUGAGGGGUGACGGCCUUCGGGUUGUAAACCUCUUUCAGCAGGGACGAAGCGCAAGUGACGGUACCUGCAGAAGAAGCACCGGCCAACUACGUGCCAGCAGCCGCCGCCG
rnacentral:rRNA from 1 species